rnacentral:rRNA from 1 species
GAUGAACGCUGGCGGCGUGCCUAAUACAUGCAAGUCGAGCGAACGGACGAGAAGCUUGCUUCUCUGAUGUUAGCGGCGGACGGGUGAGUAACACGUGGAUAACCUACCUAUAAGACUGGGAUAACUUCGGGAAACCGGAGCUAAUACCGGAUGAUAUUUUGAACCGCAUGGUUCAAAAGUGAAAGACGGUCUUGCUGUCACUUAUAGAUGGAUCCGCGCUGCAUUAGCUAGUUGGUAAGGUAACGGCUUACCAAGGCAACGAUGCAUAGCCGACCUGAGAGGGUGAUCGGCCACACUGGAACUGAGACACGGUCCAGACUCCUACGGGAGGCAGCAGUAGGGAAUCUUCCGCAAUGGGCGAAAGCCUGACGGAGCAACGCCGCGUGAGUGAUGAAGGUCUUCGGAUCGUAAAACUCUGUUAUUAGGGAAGAACAUAUGUGUAAGUAACUGUGCACAUCUUGACGGUACCUAAUCAGAAAGCCACGGCUAACUACGUGCCAGCAGCCGCGGUAAUACGUAGGUGGCAAGCGUUAUCCGGAAUUAUUGGGCGUAAAGCGCGCGUAGACGGUUUUUUAAGUCUGAUGUGAAAGCCCACGGCUCAACCGUGGAGGGUCAUUGGAAACUGGAAAACUUGAGUGCAGAAGAGGAAAGUGGAAUUCCAUGUGUAGCGGUGAAAUGCGCAGAGAUAUGGAGGAACACCAGUGGCGAAGGCGACUUUCUGGUCUGUAACUGACGCUGAUGUGCGAAAGCGUGGGGAUCAAACAGGAUUAGAUACCCUGGUAGUCCACGCCGUAAACGAUGAGUGCUAAGUGUUAGGGGGUUUCCGCCCCUUAGUGCUGCAGCUAACGCAUUAAGCACUCCGCCUGGGGAGUACGACCGCAAGGUUGAAACUCAAAGGAAUUGAUGGGGACCCGCACAAGCGGUGGAGCAUGUGGUUUAAUUCGAAGCAACGCGAAGAACCUUACCAAAUCUUGACAUCCUUUGACAACUCUAGAGAUAGAGCCUUCCCCUUCGGGGGGGACAAAGUGACAGGUGGUGCAUGGUUGUCGUCAGCUCGUGUCGUGAGAUGUUGGGUUAAGUCCCGCAACGAGCGCAACCCUUAAGCUUAGUUGCCAUCAUUAAGUUGGGCACUCUAAGUUGACUGCCGGUGACAAACCGGAGGAAGGUGGGGAUGACGUCAAAUCAUCAUGCCCCUUAUGAUUUGGGCUACACACGUGCUACAAUGGACAAUACAAAGGGCAGCGAAACCGCGAGGUCAAGCAAAUCCCAUAAAGUUGUUCUCAGUUCGGAUUGUAGUCUGCAACUCGACUACAUGAAGCUGGAAUCGCUAGUAAUCGUAGAUCAGCAUGCUACGGUGAAUACGUUCCCGGGUCU